CGUGCAGCAUACAAAGAAUACAUCUCCAAU
rnacentral:piRNA from 1 species